UGCCUUGACUUUGGGAUAACUUCAGGAAACUGGGGCUAAUACCGGAUAGGAGCUCCUGCUGCAUGGUGGGGGUUGGAAAGUUUCGGCGGUUGGGGAUGGACUCGCGGCUUAUCAGCUUGGUGGUGGGGUAGUGGCUUACCAAGGCUUUGACGGGUAGCCGGCCUGAGAGGGUGACCGGCCACAUUGGGACUGAGAUACGGCCCAG
rnacentral:rRNA from 1 species